UCCUCCAUUCAGGGCAGAAAAGCACAGC
rnacentral:piRNA from 1 species